rnacentral:rRNA from 1 species
ACUCCUACGGGAGGCAGCAGUAGGGAAUCUUUCACAAUGGGCGCAAGCCUGAUGGAGCAACACCGCGUGAGUGAAGAAGGGUUUCGGCUCGUAAAGCUCUGUUGUUAAAGAAGAACACGUAUGAGAGUAACUGUUCAUACGUUGACGGUAUUUAACCAGAAAGUCACGGCUAACUACGUGCCAGCAGCCGCGGUAAUACGUAGGUGGCAAGCGUUAUCCGGAUUUAUUGGGCGUAAAGAGAGUGCAGGCGGUUUUCUAAGUCUGAUGUGAAAGCCUUCGGCUUAACCGGAGAAGUGCAUCGGAAACUGGAUAACUUGAGUGCAGAAGAGGGUAGUGGAACUCCAUGUGUAGCGGUGGAAUGCGUAGAUAUAUGGAAGAACACCAGUGGCGAAGGCGGCUACCUGGUCUGCAACUGACGCUGAGACUCGAAAGCAUGGGUAGCGAACAGGAUUAGAUACCCUGGUAGGAUAGCG